ensembl:snRNA U6 U6 spliceosomal RNA
GUACUUGCUUUGACAGCACAUAUACUAAAGUUGGAAUGAUACAGAGAAGAUUAGCAUGGCC